rfam:Conidiobolus coronatus NRRL 28638 unplaced genomic scaffold CONCOscaffold_675, whole genome shotgun sequence.
GGGCAUAUAGCUCAGUGACAGAGCAAUCAACUGCAAAUCAAUAGGCCCUUGGUUCAACCCCGAGUGCGCCCU